UACAGAGGUCUCAAGCGUUGUUCGGAUUCAUUGGGCGUAAAGGGUGCGUAGGCGGCGCGGUAAGUCGGGUGUGAAAUUUCGGAGCUUAACUCCGAAACUGCAUUCGAUACUGCCGUGCUUGAGGACUGGAGAGGAGACUGGAAUUUACGGUGUAGCGGUGAAAUGCGUAGAUAUCAGGAGGAACACCGAUGGCGAAGGCAGGUCUCUGGGCAUUAACUGACGCUGAGGAGCGAAAGCAUGGGGAGCGAACAGG
rnacentral:rRNA from 1 species